CGUGUGACUAAAAAUGAAAACACUGUGUACAUUGUUCUGCUUGAUAUUUGCUUUUAAAAUUUAUUUAGACAUACACACAUGUACUUCUCUCUUCGAAUCCUCAAACGUUACAAUAUAAGGUUGAAACAAACGUCAAUAAUUCAAAAAAAUUAGACUACAUGAUAUUGUCAAAAGUAUAAUGUAAAAAAUAUAGGAGGAUCUAGUUGAAGAAAGACAAAUGUCCUUAGGAGCACAAUUAAGAAAUGUAGCCCAAGCAGAUGCAGACAUCUACAUUUUUAUAAAUUGUACAUGAGAAUCAAAUCAACAAGAAAAAGGAAAAGAAGCACGACUCACCAGUCUUACCUCAACAAAACGACAAACAAAAUUCCCAAACACGACAAGUGUACAAGACACAACGUUCGCCGCAGCCGUCUUGAGAUUUGAUGGCUCUUCGAAGAGGACGAACGGUAGUAGAAAGUACAGUAAAAUCGACGCGUGAUUCGAAAGAGACACCUGCACGAGACUGGAAGCUCGCCAAAUAACUGAUAGCGUAGGCGUUGUACCUUCGAAGACGACGUCGAACGACCAAAGUCGAGAGGGGGUGAAGCUUCCCUGUUCUUCUUGUUCCAUUGGUCGGGAACCGAUUGUGCGAUUUGUGUCUUCCUCCUCUCCUGUCUCCAGCUAUUCCCGAUCGUUCGCAUUGUCGGCAUUAACGAGUUACCACCUUCCGGUCAGCAAGGCGUUAAUGAAGAUCUUUUGUAGGAGCAAAGCUGCGAAUUGUUGCACCGGUCGAGUCGUCAUCGGUUGUCCCGAUUUGGAGACGUGGCUUGAAUAAGAAGAUUCGUCAUACCAACAUGAUGGAUAUCUGCCAUGGGGAUUUCAGACGUUUUCAAUUCACAAGUUAUGAUCGUUGGAUUCGUUGGAUCGACUUGUCAAACUCUGUCACGUCGAGUCACAAUGAAAGUUCAACCUGUGCCACAUCGGAUAUUCCAGGCGACGAUGUGUCUUCAAGUAAAUACACGUCAGAAAAUUACAGUGAACUCGCGAAAUUGCAGAGAUUCGAUGGAACGGAGCAACGACCUCGGGAAUUGCGAUUCCACGCAUGACCAGCCGGAAGUGCGUCGAAAAAGAGGGCGUAAAAGACCUACUUCCUAAGAAGAGGAUGAAUAUAGACAACUAUAGAAAGCAUUCCACUGGGUGGAGGGCUCGAUCACGAGCGAAGGAUCCUUCGGUUCUCCGUGACUUCCGGUUCUUAGUAUCGCGCGGCGAUGCUACGCGCGUGUGCACGCCAACGCGGUGACCGGAUAUGGCUGGAAGAACCGACUGACCAAAUCGUUCAACGAAGAACCGUCGCCUCGUGUAUCAAGCUUUUCAUGCGGAUCACGCGUUCCCCUGUACCAAAUACCAAGCUUUUAUCGGUGACAUCAUACUUUGCGCUGUGUGCACGUACACCUACCUGUGCGCCGGCGUGUACAGGUGAACGUGUGACAAAGUAUACAGUUGGAUGGUCGAUUACAUGUAUGUACAAGAUAGGUGAUUUACAAAAAACGAGGUCUGCCAUGAACAGAUUAUUGUAUUCGAGAGAUUAGUAAUAUCCCAAGUGGUAACUUUGAGUCUUUUUUUUUUUAUAAACAUAUAGGAGUCUAGAAAUAUCUGAUUGAAGAGAACAGAAUUGAAAAAAGGAAAAUUAUAAAAGGACAAUCUUGAGUAUUAAACGAGUAUUAAACCAAUGAUCACAAAAAUUGUAAAAGCUGAUAAUACUGAUGGAUUCUAAGGACAAACACAAAAGUGACAUAUUAGGAGAACAAAAGGAAAAAGACGAGCAAGCAGAGAGAGAAAGAGAGAGAGAGAGAGAAAAGGUCCCAUUCGUAGCCCCAUCGAGAUUUUCCUUCUGCUCUUCCUUUGUCACGACGCUCACGUGACGAAGCCGGCAAUACGGAGAAGAGAGAAAAGAAUCCAGAGAAGAAUAAUUAAUCAGCAAGCAAAUCACGUACACAAGGAUGCAUAUAUAAGACCAUAGAACGUCGUGUACUUACACAAACGAACGAAAGGAACGGACGUACGCGUGUGGACCCUGCGUGUACACACCUUCCAUACUUCCAUCCGGUUCUAGAUUAUUCGGAUGCCUAAUUUUGUCCUCGCAGAAAAAUCGACCAGUGGAAGUACAUACGCAAACUGUCAUGUGAACGAACAAAAUAAAUUGCUCUAUACUUGAAAUUUUCGAGCACCUUCGUUGCCUUGAUAAUAAAUGGAAUACGACAGCUGUUGGUGCUUGUGGAUAUUGAAGAGUUAAGAUAAUGGAAACUGAAACGCUAGAGAAAUAUGAAGAAUCAUGAAAGAGUCGCUAGAAUUCGAGCUUCCGAUCGGCGAAGUCUCGCGAAUCACCCCCGCGACUGAAGAAAGGAGCGAAAGGCAGCAACGAAAGGAAGAAUUUCGAAGGAAGUAGGCCGUGCAAAUGAGGAGUCGCCUGUCGAGUUGCUCUAAAACUAAAAAAAGAAAAAAAAGAAUCUGGUUGCUAAUUGAAGAACAAGCAGGCAUAGUUCAAUCUGGCUUUCUGCUUGAAAAAUCGCAACGUCAACAAUCUCACUUGGCCACGCAAUUAUGUUUUCAGGAGGUGGCAGGAACGAGGAGAUAAAGAGGGAGAGACAGAAAGAGAAAGAGAAAGAGGUGCAGGAGGAGGAGGAGGAAAGAUUUGAGAUUUUAAAGAAGUUUUCAGGAGGUGGCAGGAACGAUGAGAGAAAGAA